rnacentral:rRNA from 1 species
GUCGUCAGCUCGUGCCGUGAGGUGUUGGGUUAAGUCCCGCAACGAGCGCAACCCCUAUCUUUAGUUGCCAUCAGGUAAUGCUGGGGACUCUAAAGAAACUGCCCGCGCAAGCGGUGAGGAAGGUGGGGAUGACGUCAAGUCAUCACGGCCCUUACGUCCUGGGCUACACACGUGCUACAAUGGCAGAUACAAAGGGCAGCUACAUGGUGACAUGAUGCUAAUCUCUAAAGUCUGUCUCAGUUCGGAUUGAAGUCUGCAACUCGACUUCAUGAAGCUGGAUUCGCUAGUAAUCGUAUAUCAGCAAUGAUACGGUGAAUACGUUCCCGGGCCUUGUACACACCGCCCGUCAAGCCAUGGAAGUUGGG